rnacentral:tRNA from 1 species
AAAAGGGAGAUUAGAAAGCUUGAACCUUUCUUAAGGAAUUGGUUCCCCCUUUUU